rnacentral:rRNA from 1 species
AUUAAACACUCCGCCUGGGGAGGUACGUUCGCAAGACUGAAACUCAAAGGAAUUGACGGGGGCCCGCACAAGCGGUAGAGCAUGUGGUUUAAUUCGAAGCAACGCGAAGAACCUUACCAGGUCUUGACAUCCUCUGACAACCCUAGAGAUAGGGCUUCCCCUUCGGGGGCAGAGUGACAGGUGGUGCAUGGUUGUCGUCAGCUCGUGUCGUGAGAUGUUGGGUUAAGUCCCGCAACGAGCGCAACCCUUGAUCUUAGUUGCCAGCAUUCAGUUGGGCACUCUAAGGUGACUGCCGGUGACAAACCGGAGGAAGGUGGGGAUGACGUCAAAUCAUCAUGCCCCUUAUGACCUGGGCUACACACGUGCUACAAUGGGCAGAACAAAGGGCAGCGAAGCCGCGAGGCUAAGCCAAUCCCACAAAUCUGUUCUCAGUUCGGAUCGCAGUCUGCAACUCGACUGCGUGAAGCUGGAAUCGCUAGUAAUCGCGGAUCAGCAUGCCGCGGUGAAUACGUUCCCGGGCCUUGUACACACCGCCCGUCACACCACGAGAGUUUGUAACACCCGAAGUCGGUGAGGUAACCUUUUGGAGCCAGCCGCCGAAGGUGGGACAGAUGAUUGGGGUGAAGUCGUAACAAGGUAGCCGUAUCGGAAGGUGCGGCUGGAUCACCUCCUUUCUA